rnacentral:piRNA from 1 species
AUCCAUGAUGAUGCCAGCAGUGAGCAAGGA